rnacentral:rRNA from 1 species
UACGUAGGGUGCGAGCGUUAAUCGGAAUUACUGGGCGUAAAGCGUGCGCAGGCGGCCUCUUAAGUCAGAUGUGAAAUCCCCGGGCUUAACCUGGGAACUGCGUUUGAAACUGGGAGGCUAGAGUGUGGAAGAGGGGGGUGGAAUUCCAGGUGUAGCAGUGAAAUGCGUAGAUAUCCGGAGGAACACCGGUGGCGAAGGCGGCUUCCUGGACCGACACUGACGCUGAGGCGCGAAAGCUAGGGGAGCAAACGGG